rnacentral:lncRNA from 1 species
GGUAUCGAAAAUCGGCGGGAUUAUGUUGCGAAAGAGAUUCAAAUAGGGAUCGCAGAGGUCCCGAAUCGCCGAAAGGGGUUGGCGGUCCCAAGGAAUAUUGGGGAACCAACUGAGCAAAACCCUAACCAUCAAAACCCCACUGUAGAUAUCGAGCCAUUUGGAGAGUCCGGCGGCGACCACCGUCAACGGCGUGUUCAAGUAGCCGCUCGGGCGGUCUCCGAGCGCCGCGAAGAAGAGGGGUCCGGCGGCGGAACCGAUGGAGGGUCCGAAUUGGGAUCCGAAUUUCAAUAGUGAAAUUGAGAGGUUGCGGACGACGGCUAGGGUUAGGGCGAAGAGGGUGGUGAGCGUCCGAGUAGGGAGAUGGGCUAGGGGUGGUGGGGACUGAGAUGGGAUUUGGGUAUUUAGGGUUUGGAGGUUUGUGGUGAGAGAGGCGCAGAGGGGUCUGAGGGAAAAUUUGAGUAUUUUGUUGGGGUUAAGGUUAGGGUUGGGGCUGAAUUUGAGAGCAGGGGUGCAGAAAGGUUUGAGCUUGGGUUUGGGUCGGAUUGGGUUUGAGGUUUGGAAGAGGAUAGCAUGAGAAGUCAUGACUGA